rnacentral:misc_RNA from 1 species
CUCCUUCCCUCUUCAGUUUGGCCGACCAUCUCUCUCUGGUCCGUCAGCACAGCCCUCUUGUACCCUAACCCUAGGACAUCGUCGGACACCUGUGCUCCUCGUGCGAUCACAGGUGCCGCAUCGCUCGCCUUCCUCGUUUCUCUUCCUCCCUCUCGCUCCUCCCUCUCUGUCUCUGUUUCUCUGCCUUCACCAUGUCACCGUCAUCGCCCCGAGUCCAUUACCUGUGCGUGGCGGUGAUGGCGGUUGUGAUGGCGGCGGAGGUGGUAGAAGGGAUCAGUGACUGUGAAGAGAGGAUGAGAGGGAGUAGGAGAGAAGAGGAAGGCAGAGCUGGCCCCGUGUGCGUGCCUGUCUGUCUGUGUGCCUGUACGUGCGUGUGCGUGUGUGGUGGUGCGUUUCACGUUGCAGUCAUCUACGCCUGUGCACAUGCAGACAAGCACCACACGGGAGAUUGCGUCUGGUUGAUGAUGGCUCUGGCUGCUGCUCGUUUCGUAUGUAUGCGUGUGCGCACGUACUUGUGCAUCUCCCGCGGUGAAAGUGUCCCGUGCUCUCUCGCAGCUCAUCCGGCGUUUUUUUCGCGGCGCGAUCCGUUUCACUUCUGAUGUAUGCAUGCAUAUAUCUGCUUUCGUUUUCCGUCUCUGUCUCGCUGUUCCCCUACCACUGCGCCUCGCCAUCACGGCUCCGUGUGCUUGCAUGUGUGUCCCUCGCCUCGGCACGCGCGUGCGGGCACACAG